CGUCAGACCAGGACGAGCCAAGGUCAUCCCAGUCCAUAUUGGACCAUCCCAGUCCAUCCUAGGAUCAUCCCAGUCCGUGCCGGGGUCAUCCCAAUCUGUAUUGGGUCAUCCCAGUUCAUACUGGGGUCAUCCCAGUCCAUCCUAGGGUCAUCCCAGUCUCUACUGGGGUCAACCCAGGCAACACUGGGGUCAACCCAGUCCAUUCUAAGGUCAUCCCAGUCCAUGCCGGGGUCAUCCCAGUCCAUGCUGGGGUCAUCCCAGUCUAUAGUGGGGUCAUCCCAGUCCAUAUUGGGCCAUCCCAGCACAAAUCAGGGUCAUCCCAGUAUGUGCUGGGACCAUCCCAAUCCAUAUUGGGGUCAUCCCAGUCUGUAUUGGGGUCAUUCCAGUCCAUAUUGGGUCAUCCCAGUUCAUACUGGGGCCAACCCAGUCCAUGCUGGGGUCAUCCCAGUCCAUAUUGGGUCAUCCCAGUUCAUACUGGGGCCAUCCCAGUACAAACCAGGGUCAUCCCAGUCCAUGCCGGGGUCAUUCCAGUCCAUCCUAGGGUCAUUCCAGUCCAUCCUAGGGUCAUCCCAGUUCAUACUGGGGUCAUCCCAGUCUAUACUGGGGUCAUCCCAGUCCAUAUUGGGCCAUCCCAGUCUAUCCUGGAGUCAUCCCAGUUCAUACUGGGGUCAUCCUAAUCCGUAUUGGGGUCAUCCCAGUCUGUAUUGGGGUCAUCCCAGUACAAACUGGGAUCAUCCCAGUCCAUAUUGGGCCAUCCCAGUCUAUCCUGGAGUCAUCCCAGUUCAUACUGGAGUCAUCCUAAUCCGUAUUGGGGUCAUCCCAGUACAAACUGGGAUCAUCCCAGUCCAUAUUGGGCCAUCCCAAUACAAGCCAAGGUCAUCCCAGUAUGUGCUGGGGCCAUCCCAAUCUGUAUCAGGGUCAUCCCAGUCCAUACUGGGUCAACCCAGUUCAUACUGGGAUCAUCCCAGUCCAUACUGCAGUCAUCCCAGUCCGUAUUGGGUCAUCCCAGUCCAUGCCCRGGUCAUCCCAGUCCAACCUAGGAUCAUCCCAGUCUAUACUAGAGUCAUCCCAGUCCAUGCUGGGGUCAUCCCAGUCUGUAUUGGGGUCAUCCCAGUACAAGCUGGGGUUACUCCAGUCCAUACUGGGACCCCAGACCCUCCCCAGUCCGUACUGGGACUCCUCCAGUCCAUACUGGAACCCCCCUGUGUGCCCCAGUAUGACCUUAGAGCCCCCAUUGCUCCUCCCCAGUCCAUACUGGGAGCCCCCAGCCCCUCCCCAGUCCAUACUGGGAGCCCCCAGUCCCGUCCCAGUAUGGACUGGGACCCCCAGACCCUCCCCAGUUCAUACUGGGAGCCCCCCAGUCCCGUCC
rnacentral:lncRNA from 1 species